UCCUUCAUCAGGUCUUUGCUGCCAACUC
rnacentral:piRNA from 1 species